rnacentral:lncRNA from 1 species
AGAAACAGCACUAACAAAGUUUAGACCCAUAAAUUUUGAAGGUCUAGCUACCAUAUUAUUACCCACAAGGGUAAAGGAACAGUACCACUGCUGGAUAAUUGGAAAGUCCCUGUGUGUCAACCUCUGUGCUUCGUGGCAAGGUAGACUAGCAAACAUGCCCAACCUUUACUCACAUUCGAGAAAACACUCCCAAUAAGAUUGCUUGCUCCAAAAUCGAAGAGGCACCGUCCUCCGAAUCUCGAGAGCCAGACUCCCAACAUGACUACUUUCUUAAAAAUCGAAGAGAGGGUAAAGGAACAGUACCAUUGCUGGAUAAUUGGAAAGUCCCUGUGUGUCAACCUCUGUGCUUCGUGGCAAGGUAGACUAGCAAACAUGCCCAACCUUUACUCACAUUCGAGAAAACACUCCCAACAAGAUUGCUUGCUCCAAAAUCGAAGAGGCACCGCCCUCCGAAUCUCGAGAGCCAGACUCCCAACAUGAUUACUUUCUCAAAAAUCGAAGAGACACUGCUCCCCGAAUCUCGAGAGCCAGACCCCCCAGCAUGAUUGCUUUCUCAAAAAUCGAUGAGGCAUCGUUCUCCGAAUCAAUCGAAGAGGCGCUCGCUUUCUCAAAAGCUGGGCUGCUCAGAGACCACGAGGGCCGAUCUCAGAAAUCGAAGAGGCACCUACUUUUCU